rnacentral:piRNA from 2 species
UGGGAUUACAAGUAUAUGCCACUGUGUCCA